rnacentral:rRNA from 1 species
UGGGGAAUAUUGCACAAUGGGCGCAAGCCUGAUGCAGCAACGCCGCGUGAGGGACGACGGCCUUCGGGUUGUAAACCUCUUUUAGUAGGGAAGAAGCGAAAGUGACGGUACCUGCAGAAAAAGCACCGGCUAACUACGUGCCAGCAGCCGCGGUAAUACGUAGGGUGCGAGCGUUGUCCGGAAUUAUUGGGCGUAAAGAGCUCGUAGGCGGUCUGUCGCGUCUGCUGUGAAAACCCGAGGCUCAACCUCGGGCCUGCAGUGGGUACGGGCAGACUAGAGUGCGGUAGGGGAGAAUGGAAUUCCUGGUGUAGCGGUGGAAUGCGCAGAUAUCAGGAGGAACACCGAUGGCG